CUCACACUCUCGCUGGAACACAGCGAACACUCGCGGCGAGGAGGAAGGGGCGCUGCGUCUGCCCGGGGCCGGGACUCACACUGGGGAGAGAACCUGUUGCUGGCCACUGUUAUGAAGCUCUUAUGAUUACUUUAUUGGUCUUCUCUCGAGACUUGGGUCACGCUGAGCUUCUGCUGCAGUCACUUGCUUACCGUUGUGUGGUGUUCCAACUAGCUACUGAGCUCUCACUGCGCCAAUCCUUUCGCAUAAACUCUAUAAAGGAACAAAUGGGCUGGCAUGCUCGGUUCAUUUUACGAUUUUACUGCAUCACCAAAUUUGCCCGGCUGUGGUUCGUACGUUGGACUACGUGUGGCCAGCAGUAACAGUCUGGUUGAUCGGACCCUGAUCAACAGCGAGGCCUGGUCAAGGACUGGGCAGUGGGGGCGUUGACCCCCCGCGGAAUAGCCUCCAGGCAGACUCCAGACAGGUUUGAAGCCAUGCUGCUGAGGGGUUGGGAGGCUACUGGACCCAUUCCAGGACGCUGGCGAUUCGUUCAACAACUUUGGUCACAGGGCGUGUCAACAUUCCUGUUGUUCCAGGAAUCUGGUCCUCGUUACCGUACACAUGAGCUGAAAAUUUGAAGGCGAUUAGAUGAGGUGUUCUCGAGUUAUAAGCGAAAUAAAAUCGAAAAGUAAGAGGAAGGAAAAAAAGAGAAAAGAGGAAAAUGAAUAUCCAUGUAGUCUCUUAAUGGACCUUCCUCGAGGAGACUUGACACGUUUCCUUAAGUCACUCCUGAUCAUCUAUGUGCAACUAUGCAUGUACUCACUUAUUUGUGGUUACAGGGGUCGAUUCGAAGCUCCUGGCCCUGCCUCUUCAAUGGUCGUUACUAUGUUCACUCUCUCCUUACUCCAUGAGCCUUAUCGUACCUCUUAUUGAAUCUAUGUAUGGAUCCUGUGUAUGUGUGUAUGUAGUCACCUACUUGUGGUUUCAUAGCUCCUGGCCCUGCCUCUUCGUUGAUCCUUACUAGCUCUACUCUCUCGUUACUCCACGAGCCUUAUCGUACCUCUUCUUAAAGCUAUGCAUGUAUCCUACCUUCACUACAUCACUCUCCAGAUUGUUCCACUUCCUGACAACUCUAGUGCUGGAGAAAUACUUCCUGAUAUCCCUGUGUCUCAUCUGAGUUUUCAACUUCCAAUUGUGGUUCCUUGUUCCUAUGUCCCAUCUCUGAAACAUUCUGGCCUUGCUCAGCUUGUCAAUUCAUCUCGGUAUUUUAUGUCGUUAUCAUGUCCUCCCUAUUCUUCCUGUCCUUCAAUGUUGUCAGUUGUGUUCUCUUAAUCUAUCCUAGUAGGACAUAUCCCUUAGCUCAGGGACUAGUCUUGUUGCAAACCUUCAUUGUUUGCAAUGUGAGUGCAAUUAUGUGAAUGCAGCUAUGUGAGUGCAGCUAUGUGAGUGCAGCUAUGUGAGUGCAGCAAUGUGUGUACAACAAUGAUUGUGCAAAAAUGUGUGUACAACAGUGUGUGUACAACAAUGUAUACAGCAAUGUGUGUGUACAUACAAGUUAAUACAGGCAUUAUCAAGCUACCGACCAUAAACAUCACUAACAUCGCCCACCGUAACAUCAAGACUCACUACGACACAGCCGCCUCGUCGACAUUCGCAGGUGAAUAAAACCUGUCCUGGUUAAUUAUGUAAUAAAUUCCCCAUGCAUGUUUGAAGAUAAAGUUUUUAAAAACGUUUCACAUCGAUACUAAAUUCAUAAUGCGUACUCUUAAUGCGUAAGGUGAUGUGAUUACAUGAGUAAGGGUGAACUUGAGGGGACCUCCUGGCCUUGAUAAUGCGACCCUGCACCUGUGACUUAUUCUGAGUCCACCACCAGCUGCAGAGGUUCCCAUGAUAAAGUAGCGAGAGAGAAAGAAAGAGAGAGAGAGAGAGAGAGAGAAGGGUGAUAAGGGAGGGGAUAGAAAAGAGGAAAAAAAGGUGGGAUUUGUCGAACACGGAGGAGUAAUCGAUCUAAGUUAUGGAGCUGAACACACACCUCAAACUAACUUAACUUUUCAAGUCUGUGUUAUUUGCCGGUGUAGCAGUAGUGGAAUUUUAUACGUAUGGAGAAAUUUGAAAAUGUCUCCUGACGCAAGUCUUGAUCAUUCCAUGACCCACCCAGUGCAGCUUUGUUUUGGUCAUACGCACGAAGCCUUCUCUUGGCUUUCCGGUCCACUCAGUAAAAAGAAAAUUAUUUACACUGCUAUGAUAAGUCGUGAUGGCAGGAUUUCUACCUCAUAUCGAAAGUAGAGGACUGAGUGUCAUCGGAGCUCGCCUCUGUUGACAUAUGAGGCCAUGUGAUGUGAACUAAUGUUGCAUAGUGGUAGUGAUUAGAGAUUAGUUCUAGAUUCUCACGGAGUGCUUCAAAAUCCCUGUUGGGAUUCGUGUCCUUAAGCCCAUCGAAGGCGUAAGGUAGUGGAAUAUGUCUGCAUUCUCUCCAACCAAUUCAGUUUACCCUAAAAAGAGACAAGCAGUCCCAGUAGGCUGGCCAAAUUGUGAAGAAUAUAUCAAAAGAACUUGAGACUUUUUCAAGGAAAGGACUUGGUUCUUAGCUGUGAAAAUAAAUCUUGUUUCAUUUUCAUUAUUUACUAUCAGUUUUCCCUAAUUAUUCUUCUGGCACGUUUCUCAACCCUUAGGCCAUUGGUAUUGGAGUAAUAAUUUAGAACACAGUUGUACCUGCGGAACUGCAUCAGUGGGCUAAUUCAGCCACCAUGGCUUCAUUAACAGUAGCUGAGAGGAAGGCGCCCAAGAUAUGAAGAGGUGGACAAUAUCAUCAAGUAACGUCUUGCCACAGUCAGCUACUCAGUACCAAGGAUAGCUCAACUAUGGAGACUCGAUGGCAGACAGAAUUGUCCAGAUAGUUACUAUGCUACCCUAUAAGAUCCUAAACUGAAGAUAGGCAGAUGGUCUGGACAACACUUAUAUUUAUAAAGGCAGAUAAUUAUCUCCAAAACAGUGGAUCAGAAAAAAAUAUGUUGUUGUCAGCUUCAUGGUCCUCUGGCUUUGCUACAGCUUCGUCCCGUUGGUUCUGAGGCACACCACUUGAGGGAGACAAUGUAAACAAAGAUUGUUGUUCUUGGUGACCCGGCCAAAAACAAAGAUCCCUAAACACUACAAGAGCAGAUAGCCUACAAGUGCAGCCAAACUACAAAAGCAGCCAGGCUACAAGAGCAGCCAGGCUACAAGAGCAGCCAGACUACAAGAGCAGCCAGGCUACAAUAGCAGCCAGACUACAAGAGCAGCCAGACUACAAGAGCAGCCAGACUACAAGAGCAGCCAGACUACAAGAGCAGCCAGACUACAAGAGCAGCCAGACUACAAGAGCAGCCAGACUACAAGAGCAGCCAGGCUACAAUAGCAGCCAGUUUCUAGUUGAAACUCCUCAUUAUUGCGAGUAUAUCAGAAAAUCAAACUUUACAAUAUACUAAGUACAAUAAUCAAAACCAACAUAACACCUGAUUUUUAUGAAGACAGAGACUGCGGCACAGACCAAUAGUCUAGAGCAGCUGGAUCAUGGCGGUGAGUGUACAAUACUCACUUUCACCUCUAGAAAUUAAUUUACAAGUCUUGCAAACAAGACAAGUUUUAAAGUAAGUCUUCUAAUGCUUCGAGUGUAAACACUGCCGCCAUUGUCCCUUCUUCGAGUGUAAACACUGCCGCCAUUGUCCCUUCUUCGAGUGUAAACACUGCCGCCAUUGUCCCUUCUUCGAGUGUAAACACUGCCGCCAUUGUCCCUUCUUCGAGUGUAAACACUGCCGCCAUUGUUUAUUUUUUUUUUUAUUAUCACACCGGCCGAUUCCCACCAAGGCAGGGUGGCCGGAAAAAGAAAAACUUUCACCAUCAUUCACUCCAUCACUGCCGCCAUUGUCCCUGCCAUAAAUCACAAAUGAAUACACAGGAGAUCAUAGAUGUAUUUUGGUCGCUGUGGGAGCCAAGACAAUGCAGCUUUAGGUAUUAGCAAUGAAGAUUUAAAGGGAAUCAAAAGAGGCAUUCCACAAAUCAUCGCAUUAAAACUAAUGUUCAAAUAUAUUCAAUAAAAACAGUAAAUUAAGACUCACCCCAAAUAUGAUUUAAACCUUUCCAAGACACCAUUAUCCUAGGUAGAUAUUAUGUCAGGAAACAGGACAAGUGUUUCCUGACGAGGAUCCUGACCCACACCUGCAGCUUAUGGUCAUCUGACAGAGGCCUUCUGCUGGCUUACCCCUCCAUCCCUUUAUAAUUAUGGUUAUGGUUAUAACCAUUUUUUGUAUAAUAGCUACCAUUAUCCUAAAAUACACACAUAAAUUAACCUUGA